GGUAACCUUGGCCUCCCCUCCCCAGCCCUUCCAGCCGCCAGGGUGACUGGGGAAUGGGGACGGGGACCUGUGACCCCCUGUUGAACCCAGCUCUGGACAGCUGGGCCAAGCGCCCCCACCCCGGCCACCCCCGCGGGGUGCAACCUCGGAGGAGGAACAGGGGGCGCUCCAGGUUGAACCGCGGGCCCAGGGCCCAGCCAGGCUGUGGGAAGGAGGCGGGCGGAUUCUAGUUCAGGGCAACUGCUUCCACGCUACAGGAUGCUUGCUUCCCGCCCUCCUCCCUCGUUGCUACCGAUCAGGAUAGGCUGAUACAGGCUAUUCCAUCACCUUCCAAGGCCUAAGGUCCCAGGGCCGAGCUUGGUACCUAACAAUAGUGAAGAAUAAUAACCGGCACUGGGAUGACUUGACAUCCAGAUGUUUGCAGCUUUGGGCCCUCCGUAAAUAUUAGUCACAUUCAUCCCCCUGCUCCUUGGGUGCUUACCAUGUGCCUGGAACAGUUCUGAGCAACUUACAGGAUUGUCACCAGGCAGAUAUUAGCACCUUUCUUGCCUGGAAUGCAAAACUUAAGGAGGCCCUCACAGAUCCAGCCAGCAAGUUAGAUGCUAAGCUCCAAUUGAGCAGGGGCUUGGAGCUGUCAUUUUUAUCCCAGUGUCUCUGGCACCCAGUACGGAGAGGGGCCCUCCAUAGGAGCUUAAUAAGCAUCUGCUGAAUGUUUGACCUGUGGACCAAAGAUCCCUGACUAUUGAAGUUCUGGACCUGGGGAAGCUUGUCUCAUGGGCAAUGUGGAGUUUGCUGGGGCUGCCAUCACAAUGUACCACAGAUUAGGUGGCUCAAACAACAAGAACUUAUUUUUUCACACUUCUGGAGGCUGGAGAUAAGUCUGAGACAAGGUGUCUGCAGGAUUGAUUUCUUCUCCUUGGCUUGCAGAUGGCUGCUUUCUCCCCGUGUCCUCACAUGUCUCCCCUCUGUGCGUGUCUCUGUCCUAAUCUCCUCUUCUUAUAAGGACACCAGUCAUAUUGGAUUACAGCCCACCCUCAUGACCUCAUUUUAGCUUAAUUACCUCCUUAAUGACCUUGUCUCCAAAUACAGUCACGUGCUGAGGUCCUAGGGGUUAGGAUUUCAAUGUAUAAAUUUUGGGGUAACACAGUUCAGCCCAUAAUGGGCACCAAGCAAGUGAUGUGUGUGUGUGUGUGUGUGUGUGUAUAUGUGUGUGUCCACUAGAGCCUAUUUAAUUGCAGAAAGGCUUUGGCUGGACCCAGAGGCUGGAUGGCCCAGGGGCUGCUGGGGGUGACAGGGGAGGGGAUCAGCUAAUACCUGGGAGGUGUUAAGGACAAUAGGGAGGCUGAGUCUAAGUGAGCUGCUUUAGGGCUGGAGCUUGGUACUGAAGGCAGAAGCCCUUCCUGUAAAGGGCUUAAAGAUGAGGGCCUUGAGAGUUCCCGUCGUGGCGCAGUGGUUAACGAAUCCGACUAGGAACCAUGAGGUUGCGGGUUCGGUCCCUGGCCUUGCUCAGUGGGUUAAUGAUCCGGCGUUGCCGCGAGCUGUGGUGUAGGUUGCAGACGCGGCUCGGAUCCCGCAUUGCUGUGGCCCUGGCGUAGGCCAGCGGCUACAGCUCCGAUUAGACCCCUAGCUUGGGAACCUCCAUAUGCCGCAGAAGUGGCCCAAAGAACUAGCAAAAAGACAAAAUAAAUAAAUAAAUAAAUAAAUAAAAUAAAAAAUAAAAAAAGAUGAGGGCUUUGUGGAGUUCCCUUCGCGGCUCAAUGGUUAACCAACUGGACUAGAAUACAUGAGGAUGCAGGUUCAAUCACUGGUCUCGCCCAGUGGGUUGGGGAUCUGGUGUUACCAUGAGCUGUGGUGUAGGUUGCAGACAUGGCUCAGAUCCCGUGUUGCUGUGGCUGUGGCAUAGGCCUGUGGCUGUAGCUCUGAUUAGACCCCUAGCCUGGGAACUUCCAUAUGCCAUGGGUGUGGCCCUAAAAAGCAAAAAAGAAAAAAAACCAUGAGGGCCUUGGAGCCAGACUGCCUGGGUUCAAAUCCCAGCCCUGGAACUUGCCUGUCCUGUGGCCCUGAGCAAGCCAGUGACCCUCUUUCUCUGCCUCCAUUUCCCCUUAUGUGCUGCACCCAUGUGCUUAUCGUCCUCCUCCCCCACCUCAGGUGCCCCACUGAGACACUGCCCAGCCCCAGGUACCCCCAGGGGGUGGAGUAGGGGGCCUGGCGGGCUCUGCCUUGGAGGUUAGAUCUUUAGUCCCACCCUGAUCUGAAGGUGGGCUCAUCACCCUAAAAUCAUAGCUGCACUGAUGCUCUCACCCUCCUGCUGGAAAACUUUCCAUGGCUCCCUAGUACCUGUGGCAAAGUCCUGAUUCUUUCCACAGGGCAUUUGAGGCCUUUUGGUGGUUCCGGCCCACCUCCCCUCUCAGUGCUCUAACUUCCUUUAACUCCUAGCCAGUCCAUCCUCCGGGCCUUACCUCUCCCUUCUGCUGGUCCUUCCAAUUUCUCUUCAUGUAUAUAUUUUUCAGCCACGCCCACAGCAUGUAGAAGUUCCUGGACCAGGGGUUGAACCCACACCACAGCAGUGACCCAAGCCACAUCAGUGACAAUAUUGGAUCCUUAACUCACUGAGCCACCAGGCAGCUCCUCUCCUCAUAUUUUAAGGCCCAAAUUGAAUAUCGCCUCUUCCAGGAAGCCUUCCCGACUACCUUAAAAUCUCCUACAACCCAACAAUAUUCAAAGUGCUUGUCAUAGUUCAUGUAACUCUCAUGUCAGUCCUAUGACAUAGAUUCUUUUUCUCAAACCCAUUUUACAGACAAGGAAACUGACGCAGAGCAAGAUUUAUUAGAUGGCGCAGCAUUAGUGGAGGAGAUGAGGUGGGGGCUCAGCCUGUGGACUCCAUGAUUUGUGCUAUACCCUCUGAGUGUUUCCAUGAUUAUUGGGGUUUGACCUCCCGGCCUGGGGGGUUCUGGAAUGAUGCUUCCUGGAGGAGGCAGGAAGCUGGGCAGAGUCCGGGAG